UAGCGUGGCAGAGACCGGUAAAUGCAA
rnacentral:tRNA from 1 species